rnacentral:rRNA from 1 species
AGAUUGAACGCUGGCGGCAGGCCUAACACAUGCAAGUCGAGCGGUAGAGAGGUGCUUGCACCUCUUGAGAGCGGCGGACGGGUGAGUAAUGCCUAGGAAUCUGCCUAGUGGUGGGGGAUAACGUUCGGAAACGGACGCUAAUACCGCAUACGUCCUACGGGAGAAAGCGGGGGACCUUCGGGCCUCGCGCCAUUAGAUGAGCCUAGGUCGGAUUAGCUAGUUGGUGAGGUAAUGGCUCACCAGGGCGACGAUCCGUAACUGGUCUGAGAGGAUGAUCAGUCACACUGGAACUGAGACACGGUCCAGACUCCGUACGGGAGCAGCAGGUGGGGAAUAUUGGACAAGUGGGGACGAAAG